UAAGGGGAAGCCGAAAACCUUUAUCAAGAGUAGGCA
rfam:Chryseobacterium formosense strain LMG 24722 contig01, whole genome shotgun sequence.